rnacentral:rRNA from 1 species
CCUACGGGUGGCAGCAGUGGGGAAUAUUGCACAAUGGGGGGAACCCUGAUGCAGCGAAGCCGCGUGGGUGAAGGAGCGUUUCGGCGCGUAAAGCCCUAUCGGCAGGGAAGAAGAAGGACGGUACCUUACUAAGAAGCCACCGCUAACUACGUGCCAGCAGCCGCGGUAAUACGUAGGUGGCAAGCGUUUUCCGGAGUUACUGGGUGUAAAGGGCGUGUAGCCGGGAAGGCAAGUCAGAUGUGAAAUCUUGAGGCUCAACCUCCAAAUUGCAUUUGAAACUGUUUUUUUUGAGUACUGGAGAGGUAGGCGGAAUUCCUUGUGUAGCGGUGAAAUGCGUAGAUAUAAGGAAGAACCCCAGUGGCGAAGGCGGUCUGCUGGACAGCAACUGACGGUGAGGCGCGAAAGCGUGGGGAGCAAACAGGAUUAGAUACCCGAGUAGUC